rnacentral:tRNA from 1 species
GCGGCCGUGGCGGAGUUGGCAGACGCGCUGGGUUUAGGUCCCAGUGGGGUUCAUCCCCGCGAGGGUUCGAGUCCCUCCGGCCGUA